rnacentral:ncRNA from 1 species
GGCUAACUCCGUGCCAGCAGCCGCGGUAAUACGGAGGAUCCGAGCGUUAUCCGGAUUUAUUGGGUUUAAAGGGUGCGUAGGCGGCCCAUUAAGUCAGGGGUGAAAUACGGUGGCUCAACCAUCGCAGUGCCUUUGAUACUGAUGGGCUUGAAUCCAUUUGAAGUGGGCGGAAUAAGACAAGUAGCGGUGAAAUGCAUAGAUAUGUCUUAGAACUCCGAUUGCGAAGGCAGCUCACUAAGCUGGUAUUGACGCUGAUGCACGAAAGCGUGGGGAUCGAACAGGAUUAGAUACCCUGGUAGUCCACGCCCUAAACGAUGAUAACUCGAUGUUGGCGAUAGACAGCCAGCGUCCCAGCGAAAGCGUUAAGUUAUCCACCUGGGGAGUACGCCCGCAAGGGUGAAACUCAAAGGAAUUGACGGGGGCCCGCACAAGCGGAGGAGCAUGU